AACUUUCAGCAACGGAUCUCUUGGCUCUCGCAUCGAUGAAGAACGCAGCGAAAUGCGAUAAGUAAUGUGAAUUGCAGAAUUCAGUGAAUCAUCGAAUCUUUGAACGCACCUUGCGCCCUUUGGCUAUUCCGGAGGGCAUGCCUGUUUGAGUAUCA
rnacentral:rRNA from 3 species